rnacentral:rRNA from 1 species
AGCUGUCAGUGGCAUUCACCCUAGUAACGGCGAGUGAAGCGGCAACAGCUCAAAUUUGAAAUCUGGCCUUCGGGUCCGAGUUGUAAUUUGUAGAGGAUGCUUUUGGUGCAGUGCCUUCCGAGUUCCUUGGAACAGGACGCCUUAGAGGGUGAGAGCCCCGUACGGUUGGACACUAAGCCUCUGUAAAGCUCCUUCGACGAGUCGAGUAGUUUGGGAAUGCUGCUCUAAAUGGGAGGUAAAUUUCUUCUAAAGCUAAAUACCGGCCAGAGACCGAUAGCGCACAAGUAGAGUGAUCGAAAGAUGAAAAGUACUUUGAAAAGAGGGUUAAAUAGCACGUGAAAUUGUUGAAAGGGAAGCGUUUAUGACCAGACCUUUGCCUGGCGGAUCAUCCGGUGUUCUUCACCGGUGCACUUCGCCUGGCUUAGGCCAGCAUCGAUUUCUGUAGGGGGAUAAAGGCCAUGGGAACGUAGCUCUCUUCGGGGAGUGUUAUAGCCCUAGGUGUAAUACCCUUACGGGGAUCGAGGUUCGCGCUUCUGCAAGGAUGCUGGCGUAAUGGUCAUCAACGACCCGUCUUGAAACACGGACCAAGGAGUCGAACAUUUAUGCGAGUGUUUGGGUGUCAAACCCUCACGCGUAAUGAAAGUGAACGGAGGUGAGAGCCCUUUUUGGGUGCAUCAUCGACCGAUCCUGAUGUCUUCGGAUGGAUUUGAGUAAGAGCAUAACUGUUCGGACCCGAAAGAUGGUGAACUAUGCGUGGAUAGGGUGAAGCCAGAGGAAACUCUGGUGGAGGCUCGCAGCGGUUCUGACGUGCAAAUCGAUCGUCAAAUCUGCGCAUGGGGGCGAUAAGACGCAU